rnacentral:rRNA from 1 species
AGUGAACGCUGGCGGUAGGCCUAACACAUGCAAGUCGAACGGCAGCACAGUAAGAACUUGCUCUUACGGGUGGCGAGUGGCGGACGGGUGAGGAAUACAUCGGAAUACACUUUUUCGUGGGGGAAAACGUAGGGAAACUUACGCUAAUACCGCAUACGAACUACGGGUGAAAGCAGUGGAUCUUCGGACCUUGCGCGAUUGAAUGAGCCGAUGUCGGAUUAGCUAGGUGGCGGGGUAACGGCCCACCAAGGCGACGAUCCGUAGCUGGUCUGGGAGGAUGAUCAGCCACACUGGAACUGAGACACGCUCCAGACGCCUACGGGAGGCAGCAGUGGGGAAUAUUGGACAAUGGGCGCAAGCCUGAUCCAGCCGUACCGCGUGGGUGAAGAAGGCCUUCGGGUUGUAAAGCCCUUUUGUUGGGAAAGAAAAGCAUCAGGUUAAUACCCCGCUGUUCUGACGUUACCCAAAGAAUAAGCACCGGCUAACUUCGUG